AUUCAGCUGACGAGUUUCAAAUGGGACGAAAUUCGCGUCCUGGAU
rfam:Schistosoma mattheei strain Denwood, Zambia genome assembly, scaffold: SMTD_scaffold0001137